GGGGAUGUAGAUGCUCAGUGGUUAAGGCUUUGGCUUACCAAUCAGAAGUUGUGAGUUCAAAUCCCAGCAUCUUAA